UGGGAGAUGGUGACUGGGAAGUCUUUUUAUCUUUUUUAUUCUUCCAAGGAGCUUUAUUUUGGUGCUCUAAGUCGUAAUUCCUGGCAAAAGUUAAAGCUUAGGGGAUAGAUUGUACAGGAUAAACUCUCCCUUUUCUUUUGAUCCCGCCUGUCCAUUGGAAGUGAAGAGAGUUGUCAUGGUGUCCAGUGUUCAGGACCAUCAAGCGGGAUGCACUUGCUGGAGAAUGUUUCAGUCGGGCCUUACAUACAAAUUCUGUAAUGGGGUAUUCUGCUGUAACUGUAAUAAAUUGCGAAGGCAACGCAUAAGAAAUGUUCUGUUAGAUUAAGGGAACUGAAAGUCCUGAAUUAAAUGUAGUAAAUUUCUCUCGCACUUGCAGACAUUUCUUAAUAAUGGGGGAGGGGGGUUUAAGAGCCUAUGUUUCCCCUCCGUAACUUGUUUGCUCUAUGUUAGGCAUGUGCAUGUUUAAACAGAAAUUUGAACCUUCGACCUGGAGAUUUUACGUUUUUACCUAGCUGUAAGACCACAAAAGAAAGGACAAGUCUUGUCUUCCUAUAUAGUAACUUCUUUAAUGGGAAACCUCUCCUGGUAUACAAGGUUCCUGUCUUGACUGGCAACUCUUCCAUCUUUUUCUCUGAUUAGAUUUUAUUUUGUGAAUUUUGAGGUAUUUGGAUUGACAUCCCUUUUUUCAGGUUUUGAUAAAUGGAUUAUAAUUUUCCUAAUAUGUAUUGGGAGUAGCAUUACUCAUUAAUUUUUACCAGUAUCAUGCAUGGCCAAGGAAAAUCAUUAUAAUAGUUCUUUCCUCAGCAAACUGAACUAAGAACUUCUUUGGACUGUUCAGGAGCUAAAAUUACUAGUGGAGAAGAAGAUAUUAAAUUUCCUUCUCUAUUCUUUGCGAAAAGUGAUGCAUUUCCUCUCAGAAGUCGCCUGUAUAUAGUUUUCUGAAGAAUCAAUUGAAGUGGUCGUCCUCCAUGGUUCAUGAGAUGCAUGAUACAGGGGUCUAGGGGAUGCAUUUCCCCUCAAAAGUUGUCUGUAGUUUUCUGAAGAAUCAAUGGGAGUGGUCCUCCAUGUCUAGGGGAUGCAUUUCCCCUCAAAAGUUGUCUGUUGUUUUCUGAAGAAUCAAUUGAAGUGGUCCUCCAUGGUUCCUGCUCAUCUCAAUCAAUGAGCUGUUAUUCAACUGAUUUUAAUUUCAUUUCCUCUUUUUUUUUUUUUAUAUAUAUUUGUAUUAUUAUGUGAUUAAUUGUGUUUGAAAAUUUCCACUGCAGAACUUUUUACUUUAUUACAUUUCAAAAGAAAAGAAUAAAAACAUUUGUGGUCUCAGUAGAACUACUGCUCGAAAACACCAGAGAUUGUGGUCUCAAUAGCUCUGCUCCAAAACACCAGACUCUCCACUAUUCUCCGUUGCUCCUGAUUUGCUAAAGCUAUGGCUGAUAAGCCCCAUGCAGUUCUUAUCCCACUUCCAUUUCAAAGCCAUAUAAAAUCUAUGCUAAAACUAGCCAAACUACUUCAUCACAGAGGUUUUCACAUAACCUUUGUCAAUACUGAAUAUAACCAUAGACGCUUACUUAAAUCUAGAGGUCCUAAUUCCCUCAACGGUUUGCUUGAUUUUCGAUUUGAAAACAUUCCAGAUGGGCUCCCUCAUUCGGAUAUUGAUGCUUCAAUUCCCAAGAUAUCCUUGCACUUUUUGAGGCUGUCAAGAACAACUUAAUGGCUCCAUUCAGUGACCUACUUAACAAGCUCAAUGAGACAGCCACUUCUAAUGUGCCCCCAGUAACAUGCAUCGUGUCGGAUUCCUUGCCAUUCACUAUCGCAGCUGCUGAAGAGCGAGGAAUACCUAUUGCACUAUUUGAAACUGUCUCUGCUUGUUGCUUCAUGUGCUUCAAACAACUUCGUCCACUCAAAGAAAAAGGUCUUACACCAAUUAAAGGUAUGAAGGUCCACUGUUUAUCACCAUUUCGGGGUUGUUAAUAUCUGGAUUGCAAUUUAGUAACAAAAGAUAAAGCUAAAUGUAAUUUUGAAGAGAAUGAUAUCUUCUUGUUUUAUUUCAGAGUAAGUAGAAUUUAUAAUUUAUACUGAUGGUUUAACAUCAAGAUUCUAUAUUAUUGCCUGUGAGCAAGCCUAAUUAUCUAUGAAUAAGGAAACAAAUAAUUAAAGAUUCAAUUACAGUAUUUGACUAAACUUGAUUUCCUAUUAUGUGAUUGAUUUCCUAUGCUGUGCUUGAUUUCCUUUAACACUCCCCCUCAAGUUGGAGUGUAUGUUAAUUACACCCAAGUUGCUAAGUAAAGUCUCUAACUGUGUAGAGCUUAAAGGCUUAGCAAGCAAGUCUGCCGGUUGGUGUGUAAUUUGAAUAUAGGCUGUCUGAAUCAUUCCUGCUUGAAUUUUCUCAAGUAUCAAAUGACAGUCUAUUUCUAUGUGCUUGGUUCGCUCAUGAAAGACGGGAUUCGAUGAUAUGUGCAUUGCUGCUUGAUUAUCACAGAACAAAGUUACUGGCUGUGUGUGAUUUAUCUGUAAGUCCUUCAAAAUGUUUUUCGGCCAUGUAAUUUCGCAGCAUGUAGUAGCCAUGGAGCGAUAUUCUGCCUUUGCACUUGAACGUGAUAUUGUUGUUUGUUUCUUGGUUCUCCAAGAAACUGGUGCCUCUCCAAGUAAAAUGCAGUAACUAGUAGCUGAUCUUUUCGUGUCCUUACAACGAGCCCAAUCAGCAUCACAAAAUGCUCGUAACUGAAGUGCACUUGUGGACGGCAACAUGAUGCCUUGCCCAGGUGUUUGUUUGAUAUAUUUGAGCACUUUAUAAGUUGUGUCUAGAUGGGGUUGCCGGGGCUUGUCCAUGAAUUGACUUAAGAUAUGCACAACAUAAGUCAAAUCCGGUCUAGUUAUAGUUAGGUAGAGUAACCUGCCAACUAACCUCCUGUAUGUUGAUCCAUCCUCCAAAAGCUUUCAAUCGGAUUGUGUUAGGGACACAUUUUGCUCCAAAGGAAACCCAGAUGGCUUGACACCCAAAAACCCCGUAUCAUCUAGAAUGUCGAGUGCGUAUUUUCUCUGUGACAGACUGAUGCCAUGUCGUGAUCUUGCAACCUCAAUGCCAAGAAAGUAUUUAAAUUGCCUUAAGUCUUUAAGUUUGAAUUGCUUGGACAAGAAAAGUUUGGUGUUCUCUAUAUCCUGGAAAUUAUUCCUAGCUAAUAUCACAUCAUCAACAUAUAUCAGUAAUGCUAAAAAGUUACCAUGAUGGCUUCAAAUGAAUAAGAAAUAAUCAGACAAAGACUAAUGGAAUACUGCAGCCUUGAGUGCACUGGACAACUUGAUAAACCACUGUCUAGAAGCUUGUUUUAAGCCAUACAGAGAUUUAUGAAGUUUGCAAACGAGUGUCUCCCUUUUUUGCUCGAAGCCAGGAGGCAAAGUCAUCUAACUGAUGUAAAUGCCAACCACACAAAGCUGCCACACUAAGUAAGAUGUGGACAAUGACCAUCUUGGCUACAGGAGCAAAGGUUUCCUGAUAAUCAACGCCUUCAACUUGGUUGUAGCCCUUAGCCACCAUCCAUGCCUUAUAUCGUUCCACUAUCCCAUCAGCCUUUAACUUGAUUAUGUAUACCCACUUGCAGCCGAUUGGCCGUUUGUGGGAUGACAAUGGUACCAAACUUUAAGUCCCAGUGGCCUGUAAAGAAACUAUCUCAUGGUGCAUGGCCUCAUUCCACCGAGGAUGUUGAACAGCCUGUGAAAAACUGGUGGGUUCUUUGAGGAGGGUGAGUUGAGCAGUAUAAGCCUUGUGAUGGGGAGAAAGGUGAGUGUAAGAUAAAUAAGUAGAGAGGGGAUAAGCAGUACCUGAAAUGUGAACCAUGUUCGUGGAGGAUGUUGGGUCAGGCUUUGAAGGGAGAGUCAUGGCGAGAUGAAAAUCUUGCAAGUAUGAAGGAGUGGUAAUAGAACGACUGCCAUAACGAAGGGGAGGAAUGGGCACAAGGGAGGAGUGGGCCUGUAUGGGAGAUAAAUCAGGUAGUUGAGGGAUAGGGGUGACUGGAGAUAAAGACUCUAUGAAGGGAGAUGAAGACUCUAUGAUGGGAGCCAGAGGGGUAUAUGAGCUGGUGGAAGGAGGUGUCUGGGAAUUGGGUGAGUUGGUGAGUGUAGGGCAGGUAAUUGGAGGAGGGGUGCAAAAUCUAUGUCGAAAGGUAAGGAUGGUGUGGGAGGCAAAAAUGAUGGGGCAUCAGGAUUAGUAUAUGAUGCAGGUGUAAGAAAAGGUAAUAUGGAUUCAAAGAAAACGACAUCCCUGAAGACUAUUAUUCUUUGUUUAGCUAGAUCAAAAACUCUAUACCCCUUUUUCCCAAAAGGAUAUCCAAGAAAGAUACACCGAGAUGCUCGAGGAUCAAAUUUGGAGUGACUUUGUGCAUGGGUGGAAACAAAACAUAAGCAACCAAUACUCGUAAGUGUGAGUCAUUGGGAACUGUGUUGAAUAGUUUUUCAUAUGGUGUUUUUCCGUGGAGAAUAGGGGUUGGUGUUUGAUUUAUGAGAUAAGCGGAAGCAAGAAUAGUGUCACCCCAAAAUUGAUUAGAAAGACCGGCCUGAAGAAGUAAGGCACGUGCCAUAUUUAACAAAUGCCUAUAUUUGUGUUCGGCAACGCUAUUUUGUUAUGGAGUAUUAAUGCAACUAGUUUGAUGAAUGAUACUUUUGUGAGCGUAAAAGCUUUCAAGUUUGAAUUCAAGACCAUUAUCACUACGAAUCAUUUUGACUUUGGAAUCAAAUUGAUUUUCAGCCAUGUUGAUGAAGUUGACUAGAAGAUCCCUAGUAUCGGAUUUGUGUUUCAUAAGGUAAAUCCAUGUGCAUCUAGUGUGAUCAUCAACGAUAGUAAGAAAAUAUUUGGCACCUAAAAUAGAAGAAACUUUAUAACCACCCCAAAUGUCAACAUGGAUAAAAUCAAACAGAGAUAUAGUAGUAAUGAAACUUGAAGAAAAUGGAAGUCUUAUUUGUUUUGCUAAUGGACAAAUCAAGCACUUGUCGUUAGAACAAGAAUUAACUUUAGGAAAUAAUAGAGAGACUUUGGUUGAGAGAUGCCCAAGACGUUGAUGUCAAAGGUUCGGGUUGGAAGUUUUGGCAUGGUUGCAUGUUCCUUUCUUGGCUUGGUCGAGAAAAUAGAGACCCUUCAUUUCAAUUCCCGUCCCAAUCAUCUUCCCCGGAUGUAGGUCCUAAAUCACACAAAAUUGGCUUAGAAAAAUGGUUAUGCAAGAAGAAUCAAAUGCUAGUUUGCUAAUGGAAAUUAAAUUCAAUUGGAAAUAUGGGACACACAAAACAUUAUCAAGGAUCAAAUCAGGAGAUAGAUGAACUCUGCCUAUGUGAGUUACUUGUGCUAUUGAUCCAUUUGGUAAUUCAACAGUGCAGCCAUUAACCAGUCUUGAGUAUGCGAGCAGAUUUUGAUCAUAAAUCAUAUUAUCCAUGCACCCACUAUCCAAGCAUUUUUAUGUUUGUAAUCCAAGCACACAAGAAUUUGUGAAAGUACUUUCUUACUUCCAAUUCUUUAACAAAAAGUAGUUACGGAGUCUCAAUAGUUGGAUGAAGAUCUGUUACAAUUGAAACACAUGAAAAGCCUAGAAGCAUAGUUUUGAAACCCGGCCCGGCCCGGCGGGUCGAGCCGGCCGACCCGGGUCUAAGCAAAAAACAGCCUGGGAAUUGGCCCGGUGAGACCCGGUUGACCAGGUGGGUCGACCCGGAACCCGGCCGACCCGGGUAAACCCGGCCGAGACCCGACCUUAUUUUAUAUAUAUAUAUGAACACAACGACGUCGUUUUUUUUCCUAAACACUCAAUUUAAUUGAAAGUCAUCGUCUCUCUCUGAUUGAAUGUCAUUGUCUCUCUCUGUCUCUGACCCACAAUCUCAAAAUCUGUUCGUUUUUGGCGAUGAUAUCUGUUCAAAAUCUAAUCAAAGAAAGAAAAUACCCUUUCAUCUUUGCUUUUGCUAUCUUACUCGUUUCUGCCAGUAUCUUCUUAUACUCAAAUAAUUUUCAAUCUCUCACAUUCUCUCUCAGAGAUCUACAAAAAUCUAACCCCACAAUCUCAAAACCUUCUCAAAAAAUCCAAAUCCAAGGUGUUUGGUGCCUCUUCCUAAUGGGUAUUAAGUGUCAAUUCAGCGGCUGAAAAGCAGGGACAUGGUGAGAUUAUUUUGAUUAAUUCUUUUGGUAAGAUUUUGGUUUUAGUUAAUUUUCUUCCUUUUUAUUUCAGGUUUUAGUUGUUGGGCAAAAUUUGAAAGCUUAAUUUUAAGUGGAGGACUGAGGAUAACAGAAGAUUAUUCUGUUGGAUGGUUCACCUGAGAAUUCACUUGAGUUCAUCCAGGUCCAAAUUGCCAAUGUGGAAUCAAAAUUUGCCACUGCAAUUUUUGACUCUGGUGAGAUUAAAGUGGAGGGAAGAGUGAAAGACAGGAAGCCCCACCUCACCAAGGUAGAUUCAUUUGGUGUUGAUGUGAGCAUGGAAGGCAGCCUCAUACUUUGCAGUCAGGUUGAUCAACCAGGUAUGAUUGGCAGUGUGGGGAAUAUCCUUGGUGAGGAGAAUGUAAAUGUGAGUUUCAUGAGCGUUGGCAAGAUCGCUCCACAAAAACAAGCAGUAAUGACCAUUGGUGUGGAUGAAAAACCCAGCAAGGAAGCGCUAAAGAGGAUUGGGGAGAUACCAGCAGUUGAAGAAUUUGUGUUUCUUAAGUUGUAGGGCGCACAAUUCCGUCAUUCUUGAACCCUUUUUUUUGGGUUGACCCGGGUACCCGGGUCAACCCAUCUGACCCGUGACCUAAUCAUUAUACCGGGUUGAUCACCGGGUUGGGUUUUAAACCUAGAAGACACAUUUAUGAAUAGAUGGAAAAAGAGGUUUGGUCGUACAAAAUAUAUUUUGCGAAAACAUCAAUAACUUUUUGAUAUGAUCGUGAUCAAAUUUUACGAGGAGGUUGUAUAAGCACUUCACUAUAAUAGGUAAACUUACUGUGUCCACUAUAAAAUUAGGCCUAAAAGAUUUUUUUCUAAGUUUGUGUUUUUUUCUCAUUAAUUUUGAAUUAUAGCUUUUAUUUUUUUCUUGUUAUUUCUUUUCCUUUCUUGUUAAUAUCCGCUAUAAACAUAUUUGAGUUAUUAUCAUAAUUUUCUUGAGAGAUUUUUUAGAAGAUUAUACUUUGUUUGAGAAUAAACAGCUCUUUCUGGCUAGAGUUUAUAUCCAACCCUUUUUCAUGAAUUUGUAUCUUUGUGUUCUCUUGGUCAGAAUAAGUCUCAAGCAACAAUCUUGGUUAAGAUAAAAAAAGGACUGAGAAAAAGGAUCCACAUCCAAGAUCAAACGCAUCUCAUAUAAUGGAAAGCACAUAGAUUAUAUUAAAAUGAUGCAAGAGUCAAGAAGAAAAAGAAUUUAGAAACUCUUUCCAACAAAAUAAUGCGGAUUCGAACAAUCCCAGGACUCAAAAGAGAAUGAGAAAAUAUUGAGGCUCUUAUUAACAACACCAGAUCAAUUAACAAUUGACAUAUAGCACAAAAAGUACAUUGAAAAGUAUGAGUCAAUCUCGAGUGAGUCUUCUUGACCUUUCAUGACAGAGCACCUCGUUUAUCAGCUUGUCCAAAUUCAUGGAUGAGGAACCAUUUGGAGCUGUUGCCUCUUCUGCUAAUUUUUUCCACUCCAUGGACCUGCUCUUCAUUUUCUUACCUUUCUCUCCUUCCAUCAACUCUCUCACAAGCUUCUCCACAUUAUCUCUUUUCACAUUGCUAUCAAUCUCCAUUCCAAUCCCCCACUCAGUGCAUGUAUACCUACAAUUUGUUUGUUGAUCACCGAAGGAUGGCCAACAAAGCAUAGGCACCCCAGAAGAAAUGCUCUCAAUUGUGGAACCCCAUCCACAAUGAGUUAUAAAACCUCCAACUGAAGGGUGGCUGAGGACUUCUUCUUGUGGACACCAACUAGCAAUGAAGCCCCUCUCUUUAGUCUCUUUCAUAAACUCUGGUGGAAAAAUAGGCGAGUCCCCAAUGACCAUAUCAGGUCUUAUUGCCCAUAAAAAUAGAUGACCACUUUUAGCAAGUCCCAUUCCAAAUUCAAUGAACUGCUGCUUUGAGAUGACUGCUAUACUGCCAAAGUUCACAUAAAUUACUGAGUUUGGUUCCUUGGAGUCAAGCCAUUGCAGACACUCGGACUCUUCUUUCCACAGGUUACAUCCAAUGGACUUCAGAUCAUCUCCAGAAACUUGAUUGAGAAGCAACUGAAGUGGACCGAUUGGAAAGACACGUGAAUGCAUAGAGAAUAGAGCAUUCAAAACUUCUUGCUCCAAAGCAUCAAAAGUAUGCAAAAUAAUUGCAGAAGCUUUAGAAGCACUCUCAACUGCUUCCAUGGCGUUGUUAAAAAACCAACCAUUUGGAUCCGUACUUCGAGAGAACCUUGGAAUAUCUCUUAAACGUAGAUCCUUCAUUCCUGGAAUCCCGUCUAUGAUUCUGUCCGCGAAAUCAUUUGUUUGAAAGCUCUCGUCUGCAAACACAAAGAACAGUUGGAUGCAAAUUCGGAGGUAAUUUCAAUCUUCAAAAACCAAAGGGCAAUAAAAAGUUGAUUUCAUAUUCAUACCAUCUAAUGGCGCUAGGCCUUUCUUUUUUAAUGCACGAAAUUGCUUGGAGCACAUGAAGACACAUGCAGAUAUAGUAAAGAACAACGCAAUAGGUAUUCCUAGCAUUUCAGCAGCACUGAUAGCAAAUGGCAUCAUACCAUCAGAGACAAUACAAGUCACCGGGGGCACACCAGAAUAUGUUGUGUCAUGAAGCUUGGCAAGCAGGUCAUUAAAUGAAGCCAGUUGGUUUUUCUUAAAAUCUUCAGCAGAUGCAAGAGUAUCAGAAGGAGGGACGCUGUCCGGAAUGGUUUCAAAUCGAAAAUCAUGAAAGCCAUUAAGGGAAUCAGGACCUCUAGAAUUAAGCAGCAGUCUAUGAUUGAACUCAGUAUUGACAAAGGUUAUGUGAAACCCUUUGUGGUGAAGUAGUUUGGCUAAUUUUAGCAUUGAUUUUAUGUGGCUUUGAAGUUGGAGGGGGAUAAAAACUGCAUGAGGCUUGUCAGCCAUGGCUUACAUGCUAUGUUUCUUCUGUAGUGUCAUAUGAAUGCUAUUAUAUUAAUUUGUUAGGCUGUUGUCUAUGGUUAAGGACUUAAGGGUGUUAAAAGAACUAAUUCAACUUAAAAAUUUAACCUACCAAGUGAGGUCUAAAGAUAUUAUUUAUAUUAUUCUCUAAUACAUUCCCUUAAAUUAAAACCUUGUAUUUAAUUUUUUGAUUAAAUAAAUAGAAAUUGUGAGAUUUGAACUCAUGAUCGCAUGAUUAUCAAAACUUUAAUACCAUAUCUAAGAACCAAUUCAACUUAAAAUUUUAAAUUUUUAAAUCAAAUUUAAAAAUAGAAUUUAUAUUAUUUUUUAAAAAGUAGAUAAAUUAGCCUUUGAAUUAGCGUUUGAAUCCAUAGUCAAUAUCUCUCUGGUGGAUAUUAUACCGAAUCCAAAACCUUACAGACGGUUUAUUUUUGGGUUUAUCUUAUUUAUAUUAAUCUCAUUUUUUUAACCCCAACCAUAUUGUUAUUGUAAAUUACUUUGUACUCAGUUUUAAUGUCAAAGAAACCGGGCAGCAGAAACCCGAUAUUCUCUUAUUGACAAAAAAUCUCCGGUAGGCCCGAAGUUGAACCUGAAGUUUGUACACACCUUCAAGUUUUCUUUCGAAAAGGGCUCAUAAUUGACCUCCUUUGCCAACAAGUCCAACCUGCAUCUGCACUCCUUCACGUGAUUUUUUAAUAUGUGAUGUUACAGUAGCUGUUAUUAUUUGUUGUUCUUUUUCAGCAUCGUCUCUCCCUUUUUUUUUUUUUUUUUUUUCACGUGAUUCCUCUGUAUUGCCAUAACUUUUUUUUUUUCACUUUUCCCUAUCAUCUCUCGUCUGCCAUGUCAUUAUCUUUUUUUUUUUUUUUUUUAUUCCUAGACAUGGAUCUUUUGGCUUUUUUUAAAGCCAUUAUAUCUGCAUGAAUUUGUUUAAGAUUGUUGAUUUUGUACAAAACAUUAAUGGAAGGAUGAAUUGGAAACGCAUAUAUAGAAUACAAAUGAAAUCUUAGCCUGCUAUAAUCUUCUCUAUAAGUAUCACCACACCUCUUAUGUGCACCAAUCAAUGCAAAGCCAAACAAUUUAGGCAAACAUCUCCUCAGCACAGACACCACAUUAAGCUCCAAAGGUAAUUAGAUGACAAGAAAAAUCAAAAGUUUGGAGUGUUGAUAGUGUGAUGAAUCCAAGAAAUCUGGAAACAGAUGUUCCAUUUAUUCCUAUCCUUAAUUUAUUUUUCUCCUGAUAAGCCAAAAUAUAUGAUUAGGAAAGCAGCCCAAGUGGACAUGAAACCACCUUGGCGGAAGAGUCUAGAGCAAACACCAGACAAUUCUUCAGAUGAAGACAACAUAAACCAGAGCAAAGUAAUUUAUUAAACCUUUGGCACAGUUCCCUUGAACGGACUCUCUUGUCCUUUGGAGAAGACUCCACACUCAACAGUAGCCAGCCAUAUUAUUUAGCAAUAAUUUAAAUUAGAAAAGCUUAAGAUAUCAUCAUGCAUGUUUAUAUGAACUAUUAUUAAACAAUGAAAUAUUUAGCUACCAAGGUAAAAUUUGCAGGUUAAAUUUGAUCAGUUCAAUAAUUAUAUCCAAAGUUAUGGAUGUUUUCGGCAUGCCGAUUACUUCACGAAACUCAGGUAUUUUCUCAGAUUUAACCCUGAUCUAUCGAUUCAGACUAUGGAUAUAUAUAACUUAGUUAUUAUAUAUCCAUAACCGACUAAGUAGACAUUGUUAUGUUAUCAAGAUUUAAUUACUUAUGCCUCAUCGUUUCAUAAAUUAAAUAAGUGGUCUCUUGAACGGGCACAAAUCCCUCGAACGGUCUCUCUUGUCCUUUGGUAAAAUUACUACAACAAGUACAGCAUUAUUUAGGAAAAACAAUCAACACACAACAUUAGCAAUGUAUGUAUGAAAUAUAACUAAGCAAUGCACCGACACUAAUGACCUUGGAAGCAAUACAUUUGUCUUGAGCUUUAAUUAUCUUUCAAAAAAGACACGGUUUUUAUUUCAUGACAAGAGCACUUCCAUCACCAACUUGUCUAGAUCGAUGGAUGAUGAACCACUGGGGCCAAUUGGCCUAUGGAUGACAUUUAAUCGCAGAAUACAUGAGAUAUUAAUUGGAAAUAUAUCCACCACAAUAACUUUAGGAAACAACAAAGGAAUAAAGGUGUCUCUCUGUCUUGUCUUGAGCUUCAAUUGUUUUCUUGUUAUACGUCAUAAGUUUGAUUUCUUGACAAGAGCACUUCCGUCACCAACUUGUCUAAAUUCAUGGAUGAUGAACCACUUGGACGAGUGGCCUCGAGAGCUAACCUCUUCCACUCCAUGGCUUUCUUCUUCAUUUUCUUACCUUGUUCUUGUUGGGCUAUUUCCAGAACUCAAACACACACAAUUUACGUGGUUCGGCAACUUGCCUACUCCACGGAGCUACUGGUUUGUAUUAAUGAAGCUUACAAACAAUACAAACAAAGGAGGAGGAGAUAAAACUCUCUCAACUCAACUCUACUCUCUCAAGUUCUCUCUAUUUUUCUCUGUUCUCUCUUCUCUCUGUGUUUCUCACGCUGCUCACUGUGUUCUUCAUACACACACAAACACAUCACAGGAGGGGUACAUUAAUAUACAAUUAAUGGGAGUGAGGGGGAGUCCUCCACCAUGUGCUAAGUGGGAGAUUAGGUAAUCCCACUUGCAUAUGGUGGGGCUUGCUUGUCUCCAAUAAUUAACAAUCUCCCACUUGGAGACAAACAAUGAAAUUAUCUUUUAUCCUUGAAGGCCAACUGAAGUUUUGCACAACUUCAGUUUAUCAAGUGUAACUCCUUUGGUUAACAUGUCAGCUGGAUUCUUGCUUCCACAGACCUUUUCUAGCAUUAGUUGCUCGUCAUCCAGCAGUUGUCGGAUGAAGUGAUAUUUGAUCUGAAUAUGCUUCGUCCUGGAGUGAAAUGCUGGAUUCUUGGCAAGGAAGAUUGCACUCUGACUGUCGCUAUACAAAGUACCUUUUCCAUUCAACUUGCCCAAUUCCUUCAGGAAACUCUGCAACCAUACUAUCUCUUUUGCAGAUUCUGAGACUGCAACAUAUUCAGCUUCUGUUGUUGAAAGAGCAACGAUCUUUUGCAAGGUAGAACUCCAGGAAACAGCAGUACCUCCUAGAGUAUAAACAUAUCCUGUAGUGCUCUUUCUGCUAUCAACAUCUCCUGCUAGAUCAGCAUCUACAAAACCUUCAAGUUUCAAACCACCAGCUGUGAAACUAAGACAAGUUUCCGAUGAACCUUUUAAGUACCUCAUGAUCCAUUUGACCGCCUCCCAAUGCUGCUUUCCAGGAUUGCUCAUAUAUCGGCUUACAACUCCCACUGCAUGGGCAAUGUCUGGUCUGGUACAGACCAUAGCAUACAUCAAGGAGCCGAUAGCUUAGGCGUAUGGAAUCUUAUCCAUGUAUCCACAUUCUUGCUCAGUUUUUGGUGACUGAUCUUUGCUGAGCUUGAAAUGAUUCCCCAGUGGUGUACUUACUGGUUUAGUAUUAUCCAUACUAAACCUGCUGAGAACCUUCUUGACAUACUCUGUUUGUGAAAGCUUUAGUACGCCUUUGUCUUUAUCUCUGAAGAUUCUCAUGCCAAGUAUUUGUUUAGCAGCUCCCAGAUCCUUCAUUUCAAACUGUUUUGACAACUGCUGUUUCAGCUUAUCAAUCUCCUCAAUGCUGGAUCCUGCAAUCAACAUAUCAUCUACAUAUAAUAGUAGAAUGAUGUAGGAGUUGUCAAAAUGUUUGACAUAGCAACAAUGAUCAGCUUGGCAUCUUGUAUACCCGGAACUGCACAUGAAGUUGUCAAACUUCUUGUACCACUGUCUUGGAGCUUGCUUCAAACCGUAUAGGCUUUUCUGUAGCUUGCAGACUUGAUUCUCCUUUCCUUGCAUUGCAAACCCCUCUGGCUGUUGCAUGUAAAUAUCUUCCUCCAAGUCACCAUGAAGGAAUGCUGUUUUUACAUCUAACUGUUCAAGAUGUAAAUUUUCUGCAGCUACUAUCCCCAGAACAACUCUGAUUGUUGUGAGCUUCACAACUGGAGAAAAUAUCUCAGAGUAGUCAAUGCCUUUCUUUUGUUGAAACCCUUUGACAACAAGUCUUGCCUUGAACCGUUUACUUCCGUCAUGCUCAGUCUUCACUCUGUAAACCCACUUGUUUUGUAAAGCCUUCUUUCCUUCAGGCAGUGUGGUUAGCUCCCAAGUCUUGUUCUUCAGCAACGAACUCAUCUCAUCCUUCAUGGCUAACUCCCACUUGCUUGAGUUUCCAUCUUGUAAGGAUUCUUCAUAAGUUAGCGGUUCACCACCAUCUGUCAACAAAAUGUAAUUCAGUAAAAGUGUGAACCGUUGCGGGGGCUUUAUCGUCCUCGAAGACCUGCGAACAGCUGGUUCAAUUUGCUCCGCUUCUUCUUGUGUAGUAGCGGGUACAGAUAUGCUUGAGUCUUCUUGUAAAGGCUCUUGAUUGUUGUUCUGCUCAGUAACAUCGGGAAGGCCUUCUAAUCUUAUGAAUUCAGAUCCUUGUGGACUUGUAUCUGAAUCAGCCUUAUCUGUUUCUGCACUUGAUCUGUCUUUGUACAGAACUUUCUCAUUGAAGAUCACGUUCCUGCUUCUGAUAAUCUUUCUAUUCUGAUCAUCCCAGAACCGAUAUCCAAAUUCUUCAUCUCCAUAACCAAUGAAGAAACAUUUCUUGGAUUUGGCUUCUAGCUUGUUGCGAGCAUCAGAAUCUAUAUGCACAUAGGAAACACACCCAAAGACCUUUAAAUGAGAGAGUUGUACCUCUUUUCCUCUCCAUACUUCCUCGGGCAAUCUGAACUCCAAAGGAACUGAUGGUCCACGGUUGAUCAAGUAAACUGCAGUAUGAACUGCAUCAGCCCAGAAUGUUUGAGGUAGCCCUGAAUGCAACCUCAUGCUUCUAGCUCGUUCAUUGAUGGUCCUGUUCAUCCGUUCAGCAACGGCAUUCUGUUGCGGUGUGCCUGGAACGGUCUUUUCCAUUCUGAUACCAUUGACAGCACAAUACUCCUUGAAACCUCCAUCAAUGUAUUCUCCUCCAUUAUCAGAUCUUAAGCAUUUCAACUUUAGACCUGAUUCAGUCUCAACCAUAGCCUUCCAUUUCUUGAAUGUUUCAAACACAUCAGAUUUAUUUUUCAGAAAGUAAACCCAUACCUUCCUGCUGAAAUCAUCAAUGAAAGUCACAUAAUACCGAGAACCUCCAAGAGAUGCUACUGGAGACGGUCCCCAUAAAUCUGUGUGUACCAGCUCUAGCUUUCUUGGUCUUAAGGUCCUGCCAGCCUUCAAGAAACUGAGCUUCUUCUGUUUUCCAAGAACACAGCUUUCACAAAUGUCUAGAUCGACAUUUUUUAAUUCUGCCAGCUUUCCCUUCGACUGAAGUAUCUUCAUCCCCUUUUGACUCAUAUGGCCGAGUCUACAGUGCCAUAGAUGUGCUUGAUUUUCUGCUUCAGUAGAGGCAAUAAUGUCUGCAAAUCUUGUGGUCAUAUACAGGGUGUCGGUUUUCUUUCCACGAGCCAAAACCAUUGCUCCCUUUGAUACCUUCCACAUACCUCCAGAAAAAAGGAUUGAAUGACCACUAUCAUCAAGUUGUCCGACCGAGAUCAGCUUCUUCUUUAGAUCAGGAACAUGCCUUACAUUUUGCAAGUUCCAUAUAGAUCCAUUCAUUGUCUUGAUUUGUACAUCUCCUAUACCCACAAUAUCCAAUGGUUGUCCAUCGGCCAGAUAGACUACACCGUGAUCUCCAGCAAUAUAGUUUUGCAUCAUUUCAUGGUGUGGUGUACAGUGAAAUGAAGCACCAGAAUCAAGAACCCAAUCAUCAACAGGACUAUGCACAGCAAGAAUCAAAGCAUCUUGUACCUCGUCUGUAGUGGCGUUUGCAGAGUCAGCUUCAGGUUUUUUCGGUUUUGUGCAAUUCCUCAUGAAAUGACCAGGUUUGCCACAAUUCCAACAUUCAACCUGCUUUCUGGGUCCGAACUUGCUUUUACUUCUGUAUCUUGAUUUGGAUCUGCCUCUGGAUAAGCCUCUAUCCUGUCUCCUCCCUCGAGUGUUAAUGUUGAGAGCUGAUCCUGAACUUGAACUUUCACCUGAGUCUUUCCUUCGCACUUCUUCAGCUAAAAUCAAGUCUCGGAUGUCAUCAUAUUUCAGUUUGGAUUUUCCAGCUGAAUUGCUCACGGCUGUCCUCAUGCCUUCCCAACUGCUUGGAAGUGAAGCUAGCAAGAUGAGUGCACGAAUCUCAUCAUCAAACUCAAUCUCAACAGAUGAUAAUUGAUUUGUGAUGGUAUUAAAGUUGUUGAGGUGUUGUGUCACAGAAGUGUUUUCGACCAUCUUCAAGUUGAACAACUUUUUCAUCAGGUGCACUUUAUUAUUUGCUGAUGGCUUCUCAUACAUCCCAGACAAGGCUUCCAUCAAUCUUGCAGUGGAUCUUUCUUUCGUAACAUUGUGAGCAACUCUUCUUGAUAAGGAUAACCGGACAAUGCCCAGAACUUGUCUAUCAAGAAGUAACCAAUCUUCUUCUUGCAUAUUUUCUGGUUUGCUCCCCAACAAGGGAAGAUGAAGUUUCUUCCCAUAUAGAUAAUCCUCAAUUUGCAUUUUCCAGUAUCCAAAAUCUGUCCCGUCAAAUUUUUCAAUUCCAGCUGCUUUUAUUUCAUCUGCCAUUUUUACUACUUCUCCGAUUCGAAUUUCCCAAAUCUGACCUUACAUAUGUGUCCGGAACAGCCGAAAACCUUGGAAAUGACACUGAGAUCACCCCAAUCGGACUUCGGAUGGCUCAGAUUUUAGCAAUCAAAGUUUUGGAUUAACGGACGGUGCAGAUGCAGCCGCGUGUCAGCCAGAGUACCGCCUGCGUCGCACCGGAUCAAAAACUCAGAAGCGGUUCUGAUGAAGCCACGUGUCCGCUGAUUAGGUCCUGCAUCACACCGUAUCAAAACUCAGUAACGGUUCUGAUGAAGCCACGUGGCAGCAGAUGAUGGCCUGAGUCGCACUGGAUCAAUACUCAAUAGUGGUCCUGAUUUAACCACGUGUCAACUGAUUGAAUCCUGCGUCGUACUGGAUCAAAACCCCUCAACGGUGAUGAUGUAGCCAUGUGUCAGAAUAUUAGCUUCUGCGACACAUCGGAACAAAACUCAGUCGGAUGACGUGGAAGGUGACGUGGCAGUUGACGCUGACGGCGACCGUACGGAUGUGAUGACGUGGCGGGUCAGCCCGACCCGUUUCGCAGAAGCCGGGCGAAGAUGGAGCGUGGCGCGCGUACGGAGCGUUGGUGCGCGUGGGCAGUCUGGACGUCGGAGCGUGGGGGCGCGUUCGGGCAUGCAGGACGUCGGUUCUUCGCCGGGUUUUCAACAGUGGAUUCGUCCGGUUGUCCUCUACACGAUGGUAUGUUCAAAAACACGUUUGGAGAACUUUGAUUUUUGAGUUUGGAUCAAACACCCUCUUUGUCAAGAACAAGCUCUGAUACCAGUUGUUGGGCUAUUUCCAGAACUCAAACACACACAAUUUACGUGGUUCGGCAACUUGCCUACUCCACGGAGCUACUGGUUUGUAUUAAUGAAGCUUACAAACAAUACAAACAAAGGAGGAGGAGAUAAAACUCUCUCAACUCAACUCUACUCUCUCAAGUUCUCUCUAUUUUUCUCUGUUCUCUCUUCUCUCUGUGUUUCUCACGCUGCUCACUGUGUUCUUCAUACACACACAAACACAUCACAGGAGGGGUACAUUAAUAUACAAUUAAUGGGAGUGAGGGGGAGUCCUCCACCAUGUGCUAAGUGGGAGAUUAGGUAAUCCCACUUGCACAUGGUGGGGCUUGCUUGUCUCCAAUAAUUAACAGUUCUCCUUCCAUCAACUCUCUCACUUGUUUUUCCACAUUUUCUCUCGUCACAUUGCUAUCAAUCUCCAUUCCAAUUGCCCACUCAUUGCAUGUAUACCGACAGUUUGUUUGCUGAUCACCGAAGGACGGCCAACAAAGCAUAGUCACGCCAGAAGAAAUGCUCUCAAUUGUGGAACCCCAACCACAAUGUGUUAGAAAACCUCCAAUAGAUGGGUGGUUGAGAACUUCCUCUUGUGGACACCAACUACAAAUAAAGCCCCUUUCUUUUGUUUCUUCAGUGAAUUCUGGUGGAAAUAUCGCGGAGUCGCCGGUGAUCAUGUCAGGUCGUAUUAUCCAUAAAAACGGGUGACCACUCUUAGAAAGUCCCAUUCCAAAUUCAACGAGCUGCUCUUUUGUAGCCACUGCUACGCUACCAAAAUUCACAUAAAUUACUGAGUUGGGUUUCUUGGAAUCAAGCCAUUGGAGACACUCAACUUCUUCUUUCCAUAGGUUACAAUCAAUAGAAUCCAGAUCAUCUUCUUGAAUUUGAUUGAGAAGUAAUUGAAGUGGACCGAUUGUGUAGACACGAGGAAACAUAGAGAAAAGGGAAGUCAGGACUUCUUGCUCCAAAGCAUCGAAAGUAUGGAAAAUGACUGCAGAACCUGAAGGAGAUCUCCCAACAGAUUCCAUGGAGAAGUUAAACAGACAGUCAUUUGGAUCUGUUGUGCGCAUAAAACUUGGAAGAUCCCUCAAUCGUAUAUCUUUCAUUCCUGGAAUCCAGUCUACUACUCUGUCUAGAUAGCCAUCUGUUAAAAAGCUCGCGUCUGCAAUUAAAAAUUGAAUGCAUGACUAAUUUUGUAAACGUUAGUGUUAAUUUGUGAACAUCAUGCUUGUAUAUGAGUAAAAUGACUCGAGAUAAAUUGAAAGAGAGCAAAAGUCAAUAGUUUGUGAUGAAAGGUUGUGCUGAAAGAGGCAGUAAUGAUGCGACGAGCACCAUCUCUACCAACUUUGCCAUAGUAUUUCAAAUAUAGUCACCGUUCUAAGAUCUUAUAACCAAUAAAAAGGAAAAACAAAGGAUACAAUUAUGUGGGCUAAAAAGGGAACAUGGAAAUACUCACAAUUAUGUGUACAUGGAUGAACAUGUACUCGAGCAUAUUACAAAGAAUUUAUAUUAAAAAAAAAGAACAUAGUUAAUUGGUCAAGAGAAACUUGAAUUCCUUGUCCGUACCUUUUAGUGGUGCAAGACCUUUUUCUUUGAGUGCUUGAAAUUGUUUAAACCCCAUGAAGCUGCAAGCGGAGAUAGUAAAGAACAACGCAAUAGGAAUUUCGCGAUUCGCUGCAGCAUCGAUAGCGACUGGCAUGAAACCAUCAGAGACGAUGCAAGUCACUGGCGGAACAUCAGGUGAUGCUGUGUCAUUCAGCUUGUCUAGCAGGUCAUUAAAUGGCGCCAACAAGUUCUUCCUGGCAGCUUCACAAAGUCCAGGCAAAUCUUGGGUGGCAUUCUCAUCCGAGGGAGGGAGGCCAUCAGGAAUGGAUUCGAACUGAAAGUCGGGCAAACCUUUCAGGGAAUCAGAUCCUCUAGAUUUAAGUAAGCGUUUAUGGUUAAACUCAGUAUUGACAAAGGUGAUGUGAAAACCUUUGUAAUGUAGUAGUUUUGCUAGUUUAAGCAUUGACUUUAUGUGGCUUUGAGCUGGGGCAGGGAGACAUACUGCAUGAGGCUUAUGAUCAGCUAAAAUUAUACAAGUCAUGCCUCGAGCUCGCUCUUUCUUUCUCUAUUUCCUCUGCUACUUGAGUUUCUGCUAUUCUAUGUUAAAGUGAACACACCCAUCACCGACUUAUAUCUAUCAAUUUUGAAGGAUAAAACACUGCUAAAUUAAACAUGGUUGACAAGGGAUUGUUUUGUUUAUUCUUGAUAUCGCAUGGAUUAAUUAAUUUUUCUUAUAAAAUUUUGUGAUUGAGUUAUAAUUAACCCUCAAUCUGUGGAACUUUUAAUAGUGACCAGUAUUGCAACAGAUGUUCUCUUAAUUUUGGAGUCAUUGUCUGAUCUUUAAUCUUGUCAAAUUAAUGCAAGGAAAUCUGAAACACACAUGUUUUGUUUAUUCCAAUCCUUAAAUUAUUUUCUCCUCAUGAGCCAAAAUAUGCGGACAAUAAGCCAAACUUGGCGGAAGAAUCAAAAGCAAACAGAUGAAGACAACUUAUAGAAACAAAAACCAGAGACAAAAUAAUUUAUUAAACCGUUGGCUUUACAGUGUUACAGUAGCCAGCCAUAAUAUUUAGCAAUAAUUUAUAUUAGAAAAGCCUAGGGUAUCGUAUACGUUUACAUGCAAUAUUAUUGAACAACCUAUCGACACUACUCGCCUUGAAAACAACACUUUGUUUAUAUGAAACUUUUUUUUUUAUUCCGUCAUGAAAGGACUUCCGUCACCAACGUGUCUACAUUCAUGGAUGAUGAACAACUGGGGCUAAUAGGCCAAUGGAUGAUAUUUAAUAAGUGUUUGGGGAUCCGGUUAAAUUAUGUUUUUUUUUUAAAUUUUAAAAAAAGUUAUUGAGAAUUAUUUUUUAUAUAUUUUCAAAUCAUUUUAAUGUAUUGAUGUUAAAGAUAACUUUUAAAAAAUAAAAAAAAAUUAUUUUGAUACAUUUCUAAGCAAAAAACAUUUUGAACUGCAACUAUUACCAUACUCUUAAACACAAGAUAGUGUUUUUCAGUGUAGUCAUAUUAUUUUUUAAAGUUUUUUUAUUUGAAAAUAUAUUAAAAUAAUACAUUUUUUAUUUUUUUAAAAUAUUUUAAUAUCAGCAAAUCAAAAUAAUCUAAAGCGGUGGGAUUGACAUAAUUGCAAACAUGCACACUGUGGUCUAACCUUUUUUUUAUAUAUUUUAAUUUUAAAUUAUUUUUUUAGUAUUUUUAAACUGUUUCUAUGUGUUGAUAUUAAAAAUAAAUUUUAAAAAAUAAAAAAAAUAUUAUUUUAAUGUAUUUUCAAAUAAAAAAAUAUUUUGAAAAAUAAUCUUUACUGUAUUUCCAAACAAGCCCGUUUAGAAAUGCGAAAGCUUUUACUUUCACGUGUUUUUUAAAAAUGUAUUUAGCUUGAAAAAAAUAUCAAAUUGUUAUUUUUUUUAGUGUUUUUUAUAAUUUUAUUGUGUUAAUAUUAAAAUAAUAAAAAAAUUAUUUUAAUAUAUUUUCAAAUAAAAAACUCUUUAAAAACCAUAAAGAGUAGAUCCAUGCAAGUUGUCUUUAUUAAUUAUUAAAAUGAUUGUGUCUGCUGUUUAUCCAUGUUAUUAGCUGUUAUGUGUGGCAUGAUAACUACACAAUUGCUCUGGACAGAAGGCAAUUCCUUAAAAAAAAAAAACAUAAAUAAUACAAAUGUCAAUUCUUUUUUUUUUUUAAUCAAAUGCCAUAAAGUAUACGUAUGUCCUUUCAUCCAACCUUACAGGUUAAGGGAUAUUAUAAUUUUUGUUAUGUUAUAAAUUAAAAUAAGUAAAUAGAGAAUUCAAAUGUAUAGUUAAAUCCCAAAAAUAUUAGUAUACUGAGUAAACUGAGCCAAAUGAAUGGCUUUAGAUAAAUUUAUUCCUUGCGUAGCAAUGGCUGCCAAGUUACCUUCCAUGCAGGGUGCCACUAGCAAAAUAGGGCUUGCGUUUAGCCAGCGUCACCGCCCUAUAAACAAAAGGGCUUUUCCCUUUUUAAUCAAGUGAUCGAUUGCGUGUAGCCAUAAAUUAGCCAGCAGUUUUACAGCUUCCAAGCUGGCUGUCUCCAAGACUCUCCAUCUCCAACAUCAGUGUUGUUGCUUCACGAAACUCAGGUAUCUUCUCAGACUUAACCCUGUUCCAUCGAUUCAGACUAUCCAUAUAACUUAGUUAUUAUAUAUAUAUAUAACCGACUAAUUAGACAUUGUUAUGUUAUCAAGAUUUAAUUACUUAUGCCUCGUCGUUUCAUAAAUUAAAUAAGUGGUCUCUUGAACGGGCACAAAUCCCUCGAACGGUCUCUCUUGUCCUUUGGUAAAAUUACUACAAGUACAGCAUUAUUUAGGAAAAACAAUCAACACACAACAUUGUUUGUUUUCGGAAUUGUAUUUUUUAUUGUAUUGAUUGAAUAUAAAUGAUACAAUUUAUAGGAUACAAACCUAUAUCAAAACAAGAAACUAAAUAUACAAGGAAAUCUAGAAACUAAUUACAUAAUCAAUUUUUCUAAUUCAAGAAACAAAUAUAGAAUCAUAUACCAACACAAUCCCUGAUUAGACAAGAUAAAAUCUCAACACUUCUUCUCAAAUUGAUGCAUAGAUGUUACACAUGCCCAACUUGUCUAAAAGCUUUGAAAACACUUGAUUUGAGACUGCUUUUGUAAGAAUGUCAGCCAAUUGAUCCUCACAUCGAAUCUUAGGCAACUCCACAAUUUAAAGUAACCAGAAGUAGUAGAUCACCUAUCAUCUAUACCUCAGUGAAUUUCAGUACAACUACUACACACAAGAUGUAGCACUCUUCCCCUUUCCAACCUUGCUUAAUUCAUCAAAAGCUAAUUUCUGUCUAUCAUCUCGGUUUGGAAAAAUAACUGAAAAACUCUGCCAAAUGAGUUCUAUGUAGCACAUGUAUGCAUUGAGGAGGUCAAAUGAGGAAGGCCAAGAUUCUCUAUGAACUGCCUCAGAGCUUAUGAACUGAACAUGCAUUUUCUGUUAGAUGAGUUUUGGUUUCUAAACCUGAAACUGCCAUCAUAAGCAUUUGCUGGUCUAACAUUAACUUUGAGAUGAGCAACAAUAAUCAAAUACUUCCCUUGAGCAGGUCAGGCCCAAGCUAGGGAAGUUAGGAUGAGCUCUUGUCAUUAUAUCACAUUAUUCUUCUAGGAUACUGCUCUCUAUAUUCUCUUCUACUAUUGUUUAUAAUCAUCUUGCCUCUGGUAUCUUUUCCAACCUGUUUGAGGGAUGCUUUCUAAUUUUUUUCGUUGGAUUGUGAAUUUGUUGUCCACCUACACAGUUGAACCGAGUUGUAACUGGACCCAUGAAUCCAGGAGUUAUUGGUGACAGAGGAUCUGGAUCCUUUUCGAGAGAAAGUGAGUUCAACUGUUACUUUUUGUUUACAUUAUCUUGUUGCACUAAAUCAAGAAGUUUACUAGACUUAUUAUUCUGUAAAUUUGCUUUCUGAGUGCUGAGCAUUUUAUACGACCAUGUGAAUGGGGAGGUUUGAUUCUCAUAUAAUUGUUGUCAGCUUAUUUGUGAGCCAAAAAGUAUUAUUGAAUAGAAAUGCUUUCAUUCUUUAUUGUCGGCUUGAAAGUGAAUUAUUACCUGAGUUUUCUUCUCCAUUUUAUUUAAUUUACGAAGCAUUUCAUGAUUGUCUUUCUGACUUUAUUGAGUUUUUUCUAUAAGCCUGAUAAUUUGUCAGAUAUUUUUAGCAGGAGUCCUUACAUAUGUAUGCAGGUCAGAAGUCAUUCCCAUCAAUAAGAUGGAGUGGCUUCUUGGCUAAACUUAAUUUAUUUAUUUUUUUGGUUUCUGCUAACCAUUUUGAGAUUGAUUUAGUCAGUCUCAUGAACUUCUGGUACAUCCAUCAUAUCACUUUGCGGCAAUUAGUAUGAACAAUUUUGCUGUGCCAGAUGGUUGCUUGUCCCCCGGUUUCUUAACUGAAAGAAGUAAUAAGAUAUUUUGGGUAUAUGCGCACUUCUCAUCACAUGCUGGCAACUAGUGCAAAUGAUUUCUGUGGUGUUUCCCAGUGUGCAAAAUAAGAUGUAGUUCCUAUAACUUUAUUUGAUGAUUAAUAUUGAUAUAUUUCCACUUUCUAUUAUACCAUAGUUAUUAGUUUGCAGUGUGGCAUAUAAUUUUUUUAGGUCAGUGUUACUUCAAUGGCGGUGUCUAAGUAUACCUUCUGCCAUGAUAUUUAAUAGCAUUUUCUUUUUCAGGCUCAUCUGCCACUGAUUGGGCACAAGAUGGAGAGUUUACGAGUUGGUUAGAUCAACAAAUGUUUAAUGCAGAAAAUUCUCAGGAUAGCAAGAGAUGGUCAUCACAGCCCCAACCUUCUUCUGCUUGUUUCUCAGAAUCAAAAACUUUGUACAGAACUUCCUCAUAUCCCCAGCAGCCACAACAGCUUCAGCACUUCUCAAGUGAACCAAUUCCUGUACCCAAAUCAAAUUUCGCAUCUUUCCCUCCUCCUGGUUGUUCGCCACACCACCUUAAUGUUGCUUCUCGUGCUGGUGGACUGCAGUCACACUUGUCUGCCCCGAAUCUGUCUCCUCUGUCCAACUCUAAUCUUCAUCUGGCUGGUUUACAGCAUGGGUUACAUUAUGGUGGAAAUCUGGCCCAGAUCACGUCUCCUGGCCUUUCUUUUAUUAACAGGCCACAAAAACAUUGGGUUAAUCAUGCUGGCUUAUUACAUGUAGAUCAGUCUAGGCUCUUACAGAGUAUACUGCAACAACAAUUAUCGCAUCAAAAUGGCCUAUUGUCUUCCCAAUUAAUGUCACCACAGCAGCAAUUGCAACAGCAGAGACUGCACCCUUCAGUUCAACCAUCUUUGGCUCGUUUUGCAGCAAUGCAAUCUCAACUCUUUAAUGCACAUCCUUCAUCAUUACAUAUCAGGGAACAAAAACAUAAAUCAUCCCAAAGAAACCGGCGCUUUUCACAAGGCUCUGACACUAGUAGUCAGAAAAGUGAUGGUGGCUGGUGCAAUUCCGAUCCAAGCAUAUGACAGCUGAUGAAAUCGAGAGUAUUCUGAAAAUGCAGCAUGCUGCUACUCAUAGCAAUGACCCAUAUAUAGACGAUUACUACCACCAAGCUUCUCUUGCCAAAAGAUCUACCGGGUCGAGAACUAAAAACAAUUUCUGCCCGUCUCACUUGAAGGAGCUACCUUCUCGAUCUCGUAACAGUGCAGACCAGCAUUCUCAUCUCCAUUUUGAUGCUCUCGGGAAGAUGCCCCUCCUUUCCAUACGGAGUCCUCAUCCCCUUCUUGAAGUUGAUCCUCCUGGUUCUGGUGAUGGAAACUCUGAACAAAUGUCUGAGAGGCCUUUGGAACAGGAACCUAUGCUUGCAGCUAGAAUCACCAUUGAAGAUAGCCUGUCUCUUCUUCUUGAUGUAGAUGACAUUGACCGUUUCCUGCAGUGUAAUCAGCCCUAAGAUGGUGGGGCUCAGCUCAGGCGUAGGCGGCAGAACUUGCUUGAAGGAUUGGCAGCGUCACUUCAGCUUGUUGACCCACUUGGCCAAACUGGCAAAACUGCUGGACUUGCCUCAAAGGAUGACAUUGUGUUCCUGCGGUUAGUAUCACUUCCCAAGGGUCGAAAGCUCAUCUGCAAGUUUCUUCAGCUUCUAUAUCCCGGGAGUGAACUCACCCGUGUUGUCUGCAUGGCUAUUUUCCGUCACUUGAGGUUUUUGUUUGGUGGCAUUCCCUCAGAUACGGGAGCAGCUGACACAACUACAAAUCUCACAAAGACAGUUUCUGCAUGUGUAAGUGGCAUGGAUCUUCAUGCAUUGAGUGCUUGCCUUGUAGCCAUAGUUUGUUCUUCAGAGCAGCCACCAUUUCGGCCUCUUGGUAGCCCUGCUGGGGAUGGAGCCACAGUUAUUUUGAAGUGUCUUCUUGAAAGAGCUAGUAAACUAUUACAUGGUCCCCAGGCUUCUCCCAACUGUGGUAUGCCCAAUUUUGCUCUCUAGCAGGCAUCAUUUGAUGAAUUUUUUGAUCUUCUUAUGAAGUACUGCCUGAUUAAAUAUGACACUAUACUGCAAUCAGUCUAUGCAAAGACACCACCUAGCGCAGAAGGUAUUGAUUCAGAGGUGCGUGCAGCAACAAAACGAGAAAUGCCUGUUGAGCUUUUAAGAGCUUGCCUUCCUCAUACGAAUGAACGCCAGAUGGAACUUUUAAGACAUUUUGGGCAGCAACGCAAUACCAUUACUGGCCUGAGUGCACAUCCAGGGAAUAGUGGUCACAUAAACUCUGAAUCAGUGAGGAGUUGACCGAGGAAAGAAUUAAAGAUAUUGCAACUGGAUGGCCAAUCUGUUUACAUCAAUCUCUCGGCAAAUUUGGACAUGGAAAUGGAACUAAUGUGGUUUGGAGCUUGGAAGUGGCAUAGAUUCACCUUUAUUGAGUCAGGUUUUUUAAGGGUUCAUCUUUAUCUUUCUAAUAGUUUCCUUCAAAGUGUUGUAUUAAACUCAAUCAAUCUAGAAGGUCAAGGAAGGCAACCACCACUUGCAACCGCCCAGCCGCCAGCCACCAGCCACCAGCUGUAUGCCGCCAGCCGUCAGCCGCCAGCCGCCAGCCGCCUUCACACUUGAAGGUUGAAAUAUCUUGUUUUGAAUUCGUGUAUAAAUAGGUAGCUAAGUGGAUGCUAUUCUGUGUGGAAAGAAAAGAAAGAAACACUAGAGAGAAAGAAAGAGGGAGUGUAUUCAAAGCUUUUGUUUAAUCUUUGUAAGCCUUUUAUUGUUGAAAUAAAACAGUGUGUUUUAUACCCUCUGAGUGUUUCAAAGCCACCACCAGUGGUUUCUCCCACCAACAAUUGGUAUCAGAGCCCUGUUCGUCAGAAAACAGAAAAGUUUUGGGAUAUACCCGAAUUUUCAAAUUUGUCAAAAACAAGUUUUGAUCAUUCCACAGUGUAGAUCUCAUCCAUACGAACUCACUGGUGCAAAAAUCAGCGUCAUCGGAGCCCUCGGUGAUCCACAUGCACCGCCUGAAAUUCCGGUAAAUGUAGCCCAGUCGCACCCAGUCGCGCCAGAGGUUGAAGACGACUGAGCCACACGCACGCCAUAUUCGCGCCGAGCCGAGCCUCCAAACUGAUCCCGAGCCGAGCCGUGAGCCGUGCCGCAACAAGCCGCGCCGAGCCAAUAGAAUAUUCCGCAGAAUAUUCCCGGUUCAACCCCAGCGAACCGCCCGACGUCCAGAAUCGGUUUUCAGACCGGUUCAGCCCAUUUCUGACCCAUUUUCAACAAAGUCAGACCCGUUCCCUACUAUUUGGACCAUUUCGGAUCGAUCUAUAGUGUCCGUUUUGCCAAAUUCAACUCCCAAAGGAGAUAUAGUCAUUCAAGGAGCAAAAUGACUACAGAAAAUGCACAUACACUCAUCCCGAAGCUAACCAAAGACAACUAUGAUAGUUGGUGCAUCAGAUUGAAGGCAUUUCUUGGUUCACAAGAGUGUAUAGAGAUUGUGCAAUAUGGUUAUGAUGAACCAGAGUCCAAAGAAGCAGAAGAGACUCUACAAGAGGCAGAAAAACAAGUCCUCAAAGCAAAUAGAAAGAAGGACAACAAAGCAAAGACCAUCAUCUAUCAAGGUCUUGAUGAAGCAAUAUUUGAGAUCAUUGCUUCCGCAGAAACAUCAAAAGCAAUUUGGGAAGCUCUCCAACAAAAAUACAAAGGUGCUGACAUAAUCAAGAAGAUUCGUCUCCAAUCUUUGCGAGGUGAGUUUGAAUUAUUGCAAAUGAAGGCCUCAGAAUCUAUUUCUGACUAUCACACAAGAAUUAUGGUGAUAGUCAAUCAGAUGAGAAGAAAUGGAGAAGCCCUCAUAGAUGCUCGGAUUACUGAGAAAAUUUUGAGAUCCCUAGAUCCAAAAUUUGAUUUUGUUGUUGUCGCUAUUGAAGAGUCCAAAGAAGUGGACAAGUUGAUGGUGGAUGAGCUUAUGAGUUCUUCGCAAGCUCAUGAGCAAAAGAUUGUAAAAAGAAAUGGAGAUAAGGCAAUUGAGCAUGUCUUACAAGCAAAGUUGUCUCUCAAAGACAGAUAUGAGCAAGGGGAGACUUCAACAAGUGGAUAUACCACUCGAGGAAGAAGUCAACAAACACGAGGAGGAUUUCAGCGAUUUCAAGGAAGAGGAUCUUGGAAUACAAGCUUUAGAGGAAGAGGUGGUAGAAACACCACCAGUGGAGGUCGAGGACAACAAGCAUUCACUCCUAGAGGAAGAAGAGGCGGUUACAAUAACCGUGACAAGAGGAAUAUCCAGUGUUAUAAUUGCAAUCAAUUUGGGCACUAUAGCACUGAAUGUCAAGGGAAAGCUCCAUUAGAGGUACGUGAGCAUGCCAACUAUGCAGAGGAGGAUGCCAAUAGCAGAGGAGCAGCUGCAUUAUUUGUCCAACAAGGACUUGACAAGAAUCAAGAGAAUAUUUGGUAUCUUGAUUCUGGAGCCAGCAAUCACAUGUGUGGCCAACGAGAUCUAUUUGGCGAUCUAGAUGAGACCAUACAAGGUCUAGUCACCUUUGGAGAUUAAUUGCCUAUGUGAAAAUGUCCAAGAAUAAGAUGUUUCCUUUAAACAUCCAAUAUGAUGCAGCAAAGUGUUUGAGUGCCAUUACCAACAGUGAAGAGUGGCUUUGGCACCUAAGGCUUGGACAUCUGAAUUUCACAAGUCUGAAGAUGUUAGCAAGCAAGAAGAUGGUCAAAGGUAUGCCCCACAUUGAUCAUCCAGAUGAAGUCUGUGAGAGUUGUGUCCUCAGCAAACAUCACAGAUCUAGUUUUGCCAAAGAAGUCAACUGGAAAGCAAAGAGGCCACUGGAGUUAGUGCACACAGAUGUGUGUGGUCCCAUAAAGCCUAUGUCGACUGGACAAAAUAGGUACUUCCUCACUUUCAUUGAUGAUUUUAGCAGAAAGACGUGGAUAUACUUUCUGAAGAGGAAGUCAGAAGUGUUCAAUUGUUUUAAAGAUUUUAAAGCAAUUGUUGAGAAGCAAAGUGGCUAUAAGAUCAGAACCGUGAGAUUUGAUCAAGGUGGAGAAUAUACAGCAAAUGACUUUGAAGCCUUUUGUACACAACAAGGCAUCAGACAUCAGACAACACCAGCUUAUACACCACAGCUGAGUGGUGUAGCUGAGAGAAAGAAUCGAACGAUUCUUGACAUGGCAAGAAGUCUACUCAAAGCAAAGAAGCUGCCCAAACAAUACUGGGCUGAAGCUGUAUCAUGUGCAGUGUAUCUACUGAAUCGCUGCCCAACCAAAAGUUUGCAAGCUGUCACUCCACAAGAAGCAUGGAGUGGUCACAAACCAAGUGUUACUCAUCUUCGAGUCUUUGGUUGUGUGGCAUAUGCAAAGAUCCCAGAUGCAAGAAGGACCAAACUCGAUGAUAAAAGCGAGAAAUGCAUCUUUGUCGGAUAUGGUGAGAGAAGGAUGGGAUACAAGCUGUAUAAUCCCAUCACAAAGAAGGUAAUUAUGAGUAGAGAUGUUAUCUUUGAAGAAGAUAAAACUUGGCAAUGGAAGGAUGACCAAGAAGCAGUCAAAUGGAUCAACACUGAUUUGAUCCUUGAAGAUGAAGUGGAAGUACCACCAGUACUUGCAGAAGGUCCGAUAUUACCGGCAGAUGAGCCACAAAGUCCGGUACACAGAUUCCCUGUAUUCAACAGGAGAAACACACCAGAAUCAUCAUUAACACCAUCAUCAGCAUCCUCAUCAGAAGGAUCAAGAAGGAUGAGAAAUCUAGACGAGUUGUACGAUGCCACGCAAGUCAUGGAAGAUACAACUCUAUUUUGUUUCUUUGCAGAUAAUGACCCACUUAGCUUCAAUGAAGCUGUGACAGAAGAGAAGUGGAUAUAAGCAAUGGAUGAAGAAAUACAUGCCAUUGAAAAGAAUGAUACCUGGAAGCUGACUUAUCUACCAGAAAACAAGAAAGCAAUAGGUGUCAAAUGGGUCUACAAGACAAAGAAGAAUGCAAAAGGAGAAGUACAAAGAUACAAAGCAAGAUUAGUGGCAAAAGGCUACAAACAGAGAGAAGGCAUUGACUAUGGAGAAGUAUUUGCUCCAGUAGCCCGACUAGAGACAAUCAGACUGAUGAUCUCACUAGCUGCACAACAUAGAUGGAAGAUCUAUCAACUCGAUGUGAAGUCAGCAUUUCUGAAUGGCUUCCUAGAAGAAGAAAUCUAUGUUGAACAACCACUUGGAUACAUUGAAGCUGAAAAUGAAAGCAAAGUAUACAAGUUGAAGAAAGCCAUCUACGGUUUGAAGCAAGCUCCGCGUGCUUGGAAUACCAGAAUUGACAGGUAUUUUCAAGAAUAUGGAUUUGAAAAAUGUCCAUAUGAACACGCAAUAUAUGUGAAGAAAGAAGCAGAUGGCAGCAUAUUAUUUGCGUGCCUAUAUGUUGAUGAUUUGCUAUUCACCGGCAACAACCCUACCAUGUUUGAAGCCUUCAAGAAAAGCAUGGUACAAGAGUUUGAGAUGACAGACAUUGGUCUGAUGGCACACUUUCUUGGCUUAGAAGUGGUGCAGAAAGAAGAAGGGAUUUUUGUAUCCCAAAGCAGUUAUGCCAAAGACAUUCUUGAAAGGUUCAAGAUGGAAAGCUGCAAUCCGGUAUCAACUCCAGUUGAGAAUGGAGUAGAAUUGAGGAAGAGUAAAGUUGGAAAUGUUGAUCCAACUUACUUCAAAAGCUUAGUAGGAAGCUUAAGGUACUUGACAUGUACCAGACCGGAUAUACUCUACGGAGUUGGACUUAUCAGCAGAUACAUGGAGACACCAGACCAGUCUCAUUUGAAUGCAACCAAGAGAAUUCUUCGCUACAUCAAAGGCACAAUAAAUGAAGGUAUGUUUUAUACCUCAAGCAAAAACUUCAAUCUUGUUGGCUACUCGGAUAGUGAUUGGGGUAGAGAUCUGGAUGAAAGGAAAAGCACAACAGGGUUUGUCUUUUUUAUGGGAAAUACAUCUUUCACUUGGUCAUCCAAUAAGCAAUCGAUAGUAACGUUAUCAAGCUGUGAAGCUGAGUAUGUUGCUGCCAACUCAGCUGUAUGCCAUUUAAUAUGGUUAAGAAAUAUGCUGAAGCAUUUGGGAUUUCCUCAAGAAGAUCCCACAGAGAUUUAUAUUGAUAAUCGAUCAGCGAUUGCAUUAGCCAAGAACCCGGUGUAUCAUGAAAGAAGUAAACACAUUGAUACACGUCAUCACUUCAUCCGAGAACAUGUGAAGAACAAAGAAGUUGAAUUGAUAUCCUGCAACACAAAUGAUCAAAUUGCAGAUAUCUUUACAAAACCAUUGAAGGGAGAAAUAUUUACCAGAUUGAAGUUCAUGCUUGGCAUGACAUCCCUCGAUUGAGUUUAAAGGGGGGAUUUGUUGUAUUAAACUCAAUCAAUCUAGAAGGUCAAGGAAGGCAACCACCACUUGCAGCCACCAGAUGUCACCGCCCAACCACCACUUGCAACCGCCCAGCCGCCAGCCACCAGCUGUAUGCCGCCAGCCGCCUUCACACUUGAAGGUUGAAAUAUCUUGUUUUGAAUUUGUGUAUAAAUAGGUAGCUAAGUGGAUGUUAUUCUGUGUGGAAAGAGAAGAAAGAAACACUAGAGAGAAAGAAAGAGGGAGUGUAUUCAAAGCUUUUGUUUAAUCUUUGUAAGCCUUUUAUUGUUGAAAUAAAACAGUGUGUUUUAUACCCUCUGAGUGUUUCAAAGCCACCACCAGUGGUUUCUCCCACCAACACAAAGGAUUAUCCAGGACUCUCAUCUUGUUAAGACUUAUAGUCAUAUGCAUAAAUGUGUAUUAUGGUGGAAGGAAAAUAUACAUGGGAGAUGGUGACUGGGAAGUCUUUUUAUCUUUUUUAUUCUUCCAAGGAGCUUUAUUUUGGUGCUCUAAGUCGUAAUUCCUGGAAAAAGUUAAAGCUUAGGGGAUAGAUUGUACAGGAUAAACUCUCCCUUUUCUUUUGAUCCCGCCUGUCCAUUGGAAGUGAAGAGAGUUGUCAUGGUGUCCAGUGUUCAGGACCAUCAAGCGGGAUGCACUUGCUGGAGAAUGUUUCAGUCGGGCCUUACAUACAAAUUCUGUAAUGGGGUAUUCUGCUGUAACUGUAAUAAAUUGCGAAGGCAACGCAUAAGAAAUGUUCUGUUAGAUUAAGG
rnacentral:lncRNA from 1 species